AUGCCGUGCUGUGGGCAUGCUGCAAUUUAUUCCUGGAGACAUUCCCAGGCUUCUGGGACUGUCUCAUCCUGGACUUCUUGAAAACUGGAAAUCUUGUUCCCUAGGGC